rnacentral:lncRNA from 1 species
GAAAACACCACCCUCCGAAAAUACACAGAAACAAAGAGAAAGAGAAUAACAAUAGUAAUAUUAAUAAUGCGUUCCAAACAGGCAAUUCAUUUCUAGAGAGAGAAAGAAAGCAGGGAGAGAAACAGCGAAUUAUUCUUCAUGGAGGCUGAGAAGAAAAGGAAGAAAGCACAGAUCGGCACGGUGGAGAGCGGUGGCGGACGGCGGAGAAAGGAGGCUGCCACCACCCCUCCGCCGACGGAGGAAGAGGUGGAGGAAUUCUUCGCGAUUCUCCGGCGGAUGCGUGUUGCCGUCAAGUACUUCGAGAAUAAUAAUAUCAACUGCGAUACACCUAUUAAUCUAACUGAUAGUUUGGUGCCGGUGAAGACGACGGUGACUGAGCCGGUUAACGACGUUAAAGGUGGAGAUAACGGCGUUUUGGAUCUCAACUCGAUUCCUGACGGCGAAAGUAACAGCGAUUAACGUAGGUGGUUAUGCAUGGUUUUAUAUUACUUGUCAUGUGAUAUUUAUUUUUUAAUAUUUAAUUCGUGGACAUGUUUUGUUGUUUUAUUCUUGCGAUUAUUCUUGAGAGUAUUUAGAAAAUUAUUUAUUUAUUUUUUAAUUUAGAAAAUUAUUUCUUUAGGAGCUAUAAUAAAGAAGAAAGAUGAGGGUGAGAAAAUUUAUUUAACAACUUUUGACUUUAUAUAUAUCUUUCUCACUUCAUUUUUUUCUAUUUAUAUAAAAAAACUUAAAAUUUCUAAUUAUGUUAUUUCCUUCUCAACUUACAAACAAGAAUGAAAACAAAUAUUCUAGUUUAAUUUCUAUAUAUAUAAUGAAAGAUUGUUGAGAUUUUAUAUUUAUAUAGUUCAAGACUUUAUAAAGUUGUGAACUAGCAAAGUUCUUGAAUAAUAUAUACUUAGAACUACAAAAAUUCAUGGUUCAUUCUAAAUGUUGAGAAAACUUGAAGUUCUAUAAUGAUUAUAGAGAAAUAUUACAUAGCAAAAAAUCAUGUAUUAAAGGAUUCUAAAUUGAUAUUUUUACAAAUAAAAAAUAAUAAUUUUAUAAAAAAAAUUAAUAUAAAUACUAAAAUAGUAAGUGAGGUCAGGGGAGGAUUCAGUCUCUUAAGUUAGUGAGGUCAAAUUUGAAAUAAAUAAAUUUUUGUAAAAAAUAUAAUAUAAUAAAUUACAAAACUAAAUAAUUCCUAAAUAUUAUUUAUAGUAACAUUUUUCUAGAUUUCAAUACUUAAAAUUGUUGCAUGAUAGUCUCAUUUUUAUUAGUUACAAAAAUUUACAUGCAAUUAUAAAAAAUCUCAAAGCAAUUAAUAAAUUUGUGAAAUUAUAAAUAAAAAAUACAACAUAUCAAUUUUUCUCUAAAGUCGAACUAGUGAGAAGAAUUAGGCCAAGUCGCUCGACUAGAAACGAAGAGACAGAGUAUUCAUAUAUAGUGACAAAGGUAAUAUAAGAUAUGAAUUUUAAGAGUUUAAUACUACCUCAAUUCCAAAAUUAAAUAUAUAUUUUGAUUUUUAAAGUCAAUUCACGAAAUUCUAAAACUCAAUUUGAUAUAAGUUCGUUCAAAAUUUAAAAACAACAAAGAUAAUAAUCAGUACUCCAUCUGUCCCUAAUUAUUUGACGUUUUAGAAUUUUUUAUUUGUCCUUAAUUAUUUGACGUUUGUUCAAAUCUAGGAAAAUUAAUGACAAUUAUUCCAAAAUUACCCCUCAUUACUUUGCCUAUUUUUUUUAUACUUUAAACUCUCUCUCCUUAUCCCAACAAAACUCUCUUUAAUGUUUUAUAAUCAUUACCCCUCAGUACUAUAUUUAAUGUUUUAUAAUUAUUAUCUUAAUUUUUGUGUUCACCUCUAAAACGUCAAAUAAUUAAGAUCGGAUGGAGUAAUGUUUUGUUCCAGUGUUCCACUAACAAGAGCAUUUCACAAUAAAGGGUUUAAUAUCAUGCACAUUUUCAAUUGUGGUCAAAUACCCCCCACUAAAUUAUGUGUUGGAUAAAUUAUAGACUUGUUUGUUUUCAUGUGUUUAAUGCAUUUAAAUAAAACGUUUGAAAUUUUUUUAAAAUGUAAGGCUAUAUUUGUUUGCAGAAAUUAUAUAAUCUCGGUAUUAUAAUCCAUGAAAUUAUAAUUUUUAGGUUUAUAAUCCCAAGAUUAUAAUUGUAAUGUUAAGACUAUAAUUUUUGGUCACUUAUUUUAAAGACGGAGGUAAUAGCCGAAUAAUAUUUUAACUAAUAAAAAUUAAAGAGAAAUGUCUAUAUAAUAAGAUAGAAUAAAUUAAGUACAAUUAUUUUUAAUGUCUAUAUAAUAAGAUAGAAUAAAUUAAAGUCUGAGUGUCUUGUACAAUAUUCUCAGCCGGAUUUAAAACAGUAGAAGACAGGGAAUAUUAAUUCAGUUAUAGCCCAGUGGACUUAAAUUGGCCUUGUCAAAUUCUUUUGAUACCUACUUGUUGGGGUGGACAAAAGGCUUUUGUUUGUUUUAAGAACAAUUAUAUAUUUUAUUAUAUUUUUAAAAUAAUUAUAACAAUAGUAUACUCAUAAAAUAUUUACAUAAUUAAUAUAUUUUUAUAUUUAUUUACAAUAUUAGUGCAAUUAGAAUUCCUUAAUUUAGGAAAUUAGUAUGCAAUUAGGAUUCCUUAAUUUAGGGGAUUAGUUAUCCCCAUGGCUUUUUCUCUCCUCUUCUCUCUCUCUUCAACUAAAUCAACUGCAUUAAUUAGUCAUCACCAUUUUUCUUCAUUCAACGUAUUCUUUAUAUAUAUAUAUAUAUAUAUAUAUAUAUAUAUAUAUAUAUAUAUAUAUAUAUNNNNNNNNNNNNNNNNNNNNNNNNNNNNNNNNNNNNNNNNNNNNNNNNNNNNNNNNNNNNNNNNNNNNNNNNNNNNNNNNNNNNNNNNNNNNNNNNNNNNACAUAGCAAUCACAAGAACAGAACAACACCACUAAUUAUGGGCCUGCCCUCCUCCUCCUCCACCCUCCUCAUCCACGCUCCGUCUCCCUCCGAUGGUCGGCCGAAAUAAUCAAUCGCUUCACCGACGUCCUCCUCACCCCCAUCCACGACGAUAAUAUAUUGAUACAGAAUAACAAUUAAUGGAAAAUAUAUUGAUCCACCUCCACACCUUCAGUUUUUUCAUAUUGCAGUGGGUAUCCAAGGUAACUAAUUCAGUUUUAUUAAGUUACCAAUUAUUUUGAAUGUGAUGUAGUUGGUAGCCAAACCUUCAUGCAGUUAGUUACCAAACUUUCAGACCAAUGUAACCAAUUCAUACUACAGGUGUAGAGGUAGAUUAGUUACCUUGGUAUAAAGGUUUAAUUACAUUGGUAUAAAAGUUUGAUUACCUUUUUUAAGAAGGUUUGGUUAUCAGCAUUAUAUUACACAUCACUCUCAGUGUUCUUAUUUUCUUUUGGACAUGAAAUUGGGUCUCACUGGCGAAGGUGGACAUGAAAUUGGGUCUCACAGGCGAAGGGGAGGAAGAAGAUGACGUUGCCAAACUUUGAAUAUAGCAAAGGGGAGAUGACGUUGCCAAACUUUGAAUAUUUGAAUUAUUAUUUUUGAAUUUGAAUUUAUUUUUGUUGUUAGAUCCAAGAUAUUUGAAUUUGAAUUAUUAAUUAUGGCAGUUAUUUUUCCUUGAUUUUAAGUUUCCUUAUUAUUAUGAAUCGAAUCCUAUACUAAUUCCCUAAAUUAAGGAAUUCUAAUUGCACUAAUAUUGUAAAUAAAUAUAGAAAAUAUAUUGAUUGUGUAAAUAUUUUAAGAGUGCACUAAUAAUAUAAUUACUUUCUAAAUGUUGUAUAUUAUUGUAAAUGACCCUUGAUUUUAUAUUUAAUUUAUUGGACGAAUUGAUACCUCGAGCCCCUCACGGGCCUGAAUGUGCUCCAUUAUCAUACCAGACAGAUGAACUCGACCCCUAUUGAAAGAUUAUGAAUACAAUCAAUAUGGGUCGAGUUUCCAUAAUGCGUGAAAUACAUACAAAUUAGAUUCCUUUCCAUUGGGAGAUCUUAUUUAUAUCAGCAGAACCAUUUCUGAGCACGGGCGGGAGGGUCGACCGUCCUAGAAAUAUUAGAAAAAGUAUCUUUCAAUGAAUGUAUUUUCAUAUAUUUUGUUGUAGUUAAACUUUUUAUAUAUUUUAAUGUAGUCGAAGUUCUCAUAUAUUUUGCUAUAGUCGAAUUAUUAUGUUAGAUACAAUUUGUACUUUUUAUUUAUUUAUUUUUACACUUUUUUUGGAUACAAUUUGUACAGUUCCCUUCCCCAUUUGGUUGUUGAUUAAUACAAUUGAAUUAAUUUGUUUGAUCAUAGAAUUAAUGAAUAACUACCAAAAGUAGGAGCUUAAAUUAAAAUGAAUUUCAAUAUCUUACACCACAUAGAAGAAACAAAUAAGAAAGUUAACCAAUGCCUCGUACCGAUUGCAAAUUUGUUCCAUUAACAAUCCUAAAAUUAUAAUCUCAAGAUUAUAAUUAUAAUAUCAAGAUUAUUAAGCUAUUUUAUAAUCUCGAGACUAAUAGUCCCAGAUCUAAAUUUAAAAACAAAAAAUACUAGAAAAAAUAUCUUUCAAUGAAUAUAUUUCUCACAUAUUUUGUUGUAGUCGAACUUUUCAUAUAUUUUGAUGUAAUCGAAGUCCUCAUAUAUUUUGUUUUAGUAGAACUAUUAUGUUUUAAGUUACGGAAAUACACUUUUUAGUAGAACUAUUAUGUUUUAAGUUAUGGAAAUACACUUUUUGGAUACAGUUUGUACUUUUUAUUUAUAUUUUUUUAUAAUUUUUUUUUAAUAAAGACAAUAUUUCGAGUAAGGUCUCAUUUUUUUUUUCGUCCUGAACUACCAAAAUCUCAGAAACGGCCCUGUAUAUCAAUCCACCUAUAUUUGGACUUGUCAAAAUGACUCCCAUCCAAAAAUGGAGAAAAAUCCUAACAAACAUCGGAUCUAAAUAUGAGUUAUAAAUAAGGGGAACCUUUAGUGCUUAUUACUCACUCACUCUCAGAUUCUAAAAGCAUUCAUAGUUGAUUACUAAUUUUAUUAUCGGAGGUGGAUCCAAAGGCAAUCAUCUGCACAUCGUUCAUUUUAAGAUAUUUUGGAGUAUUAAAUAUUUGGUGGGCUAAAAUAGGCAUCAUCCUAUAGGAAUUUGCCACAUCAUAGUAUUAUAAAAAAAAUUGCUAGAAAAUAAAAUUAAAUUAAAUUAAUACUAUUUAAAUUCGGAUCAUUUGUUUGGUAUUUGAGACAUGUCAUUUGUCCGUUUAUCCGCUUGUCAAUUUUUGAGACAUUGGACUGUAGAAUCCAGCCCAUAGAUGGAAUAAAGAUGGCCCACCGCGAGAUGUAGCCCAAGUAAUUUAACUAUGUGCAACUUAACUUAAUUGAUACUAAACUUGAUUCAUAAGAAUUGAAUAUUAUCAUUUCAAUAUAUUUUAAAUCUAGAUCAUAAAAUAGAGAGUUUUCAAUUCAUUUGAUAGGGAGAGAAUCUUAAUUCCGUCUNNNNNNNNNNNNNNNNNNNNNNNNNNNNNNNNNNNNNNNNNNNNNNNNNNNNNNNNNNNNNNNNNNNNNNNNNNNNNNNNNNNNNNNNNNNNNNNNNNNNNNNNNNNNNNNNNNNNNNNNNNNNNNNNNNNNNNNNNNNNNNNNNNNNNNNNNNNNNNNNNNNNNNNNNNNNNNNNNNNNNAUUGAAAUAGUUUCCACCCUAUAUUGAUUGUGUAGUUGUGUUGGGAUAUGAGUCCGUUAUAUGUCCAUUAGACAUAGAUUAUAUACUUCUAAUUUUUGUACUUCGUAAGUAUUUUUAUUUUUUUAAAAAAAGUAACGAUUUAUAUGUCGAUAAUUAUCAUGAUAAAAUUGAAUUAAGACUAACAUAAUAAGAUAGAAUAAAUUAAUAUAGAUCUUUUUUUUUCAAUUCUCAUGUUAGUACUCUAAUUUAUGUAUAUGUUUGAUUUGAUGAUGAAAUGAGAACUUAAUAUAUAUUUAUAAAAUCAGUAGCUUUUGUAAAGUCUAAAAACUGAUCGUAGAGUUGAAGACCAAGAAGUAUUUUGAAAUCGUAAAGCAUGAAGAUUGAUCAUAGAGUCAAGCCUUCAGGACAAGUCACUCUAUUAUCAGAUUUUUCUCUGCGAUUAAUUAAAACCGUAGAGUUCAUCUCUUCAAACGGGUUAUGACAAUGUCAUACACUUAGGACUGAAGAUCCCAAGGAUGAUCCUUUCAAAAGUUAUCAAUAAGGAUAAGGUAUUCUAGAAGUUGUGUCUAAUAGUUAUAUCUGCUAAAGACAAAAAUAUUCGACUACAUCUGCACCUGACAAAGUGCGAUGAAGUGGUCCUAGCCGACAACAUUUCAAAGUCAAACAAUUGGAUAUUGACAUGUGUCUAAAUUAUAAUGGAAUAACGAUCAAAUCACAACAGGAAGAUCCCAAUGUGAAGCUAUAAAAGGCAUAUAGAAUAAUUAUUUAUAAAAAAAUGAUAUACAUGUCGACAAAUAUUUAACGAAGUUAGAUUACAACGAACGUGAAAGUAUAUGUGAUAAGAUAUAUUAAAGUGGGAUCCUUCUUAAUUUCUACGUAUCAUAUGUAUGUAUAUACGUUGCAAUCAUAAUUCGUUUAAAAACUCUCGCAACGUAUAGCAGAUCUCUUAUUUAUAUUUUGAUUUAAGAAAUUAAUACGACUUAGCUUGAGUGAUUUAAGCAACCUAAUUAUUUUUAGGGAAAUAAUUUAUAUAUCGAGAAAUAUAUAACAAAAUUGGAUUGCGACUUGCGCGUAACUACACAUACAUUAGUAUUUAUAUUCGAUAUAAAUUUGUUGUCACAAUCUAUACUUUAUUCAUUCCAAAAUUAGAUAUACAAUUGAGGUUAAACGGCUAUCUAUUAAAUUUUAAAUUGAUGUGAAUUUUUUAGUUUUAAUUGCUACAAUUAUUAUAAUUAUAUAGUAUAUAAUAAAAAUUAUUAAUUACAAAAUUAAUUUUAUUCUAAAUUUUUAUGAAUCUUAUCAAUUUUAAAAUUUUAUAUAUCAUUGUUUGAAUUCAAAAAAUAAAUAAUAUUUUUAAUUUUAGAACGGAGAGAAUAUUAUUCAAAGUAGUUUUCAUGGCGCUUGGAAACUUCAAAGAAAUUACGCAUUAAAUUACCUCUUUUUCCUUGAAGAAAUAGAGUAUUUCACGAAAUGGACGGCCCCUCCCGCGUUAGUCAAUUAUAGUGAUAACUUACGCAUCUCUACAAACUUAACUUGCACUUUCAUUUCAAGUACACGACUGUUUUUUUUUAAUGGGAUUAGAUGCCCCCCAUCAUAUUUAUUCUAAAAUUUUGACACAAUACACCUUUAAACACAUAAAUAUUAUUUUUAAUAAUAAUGUUAACAUUAUUUUAUUUAUUUAUAACAAAUUUUAUUAUGUCACUAAUUAUUAAUAACGAAUUUUAUUGUAUCUCUGAAUAUUAUAUAAUAUUUGUAUGAUUAUUGUGUAUUGAAGAAAAUUGAAAGAUGUGUAAUAUAGCGACUCUUAAUCCUUUUUUAUGAACUAGUACAUGACUUUUAAUAAAUAAGAAUUAGGACCCUUUCAUUAUAUUUAGUGACACUUUUAACCAUACAAGUGUUUGUGACAAAUUUUAUUUUGUCGCUAAAUGUCAUAUUUAUAUUGUUAAAUAUGUAUUAUAAAAAAAUUAAAGAAUAAAUAUAAUAGGGAGGAUAUUCUAAUCCAAUAUAUAAAAAUAUAUAUUUUUCCUAUCUUUAUUUUUCCAAAGCCUAUUUAUCUGGUCUACUUUUCCUCAUGUUGUAACGUGUUUGACAUUUUUUUUGUCUAUAUAUUUAUUGUUGGACCAUGAUUCUUUUUUUUAUUGGGUCAGAUUUAAUGGGCUCCUCCCUUGGAUUAUGUUACUUUUGUCCUAUUGAUCCGAAUGAUUUGGGCCCAAUUACUUGAUCAUUUCAUUGGGUUGUCUCGGUUGGAUCCGGUCAUAUGGGUCAUUAUGUAAAUUGUCACUUAACCCAACUUUGACCGGUAAUUAUUACGCCAAAUAAUAGUUGACUGUUAUGUCUGCCACCUUUCUGCAUGGCAUUAAUGAGGAUGAGACUCAGAUGACCGGCGGUGGCAAAUAGUGGUAGCAGGUGAGGAAGUAGGCUAUAUACUUUCGGCUGAAAUGGCCGGGAGUGGGGAAAAGGUGUCAGGAGGUGAUGGGUGGCACGGUAAACCGGGAUUGGAGUACGUAUGGUGCUAGGAUCACAACAAAAAGGGAGGUAAGUAAAAAAUUAUUAGAACACACGAUCAUAUUAUUAUUUUUCUCUCAGGCAUUAGACAUUAUUUUCCCUCCAUUGUUGACCUUGUGAUCGCCGAUACUGACUCUCACGCCGGAGCUAUCCCCCGACGGUCCAGCCGUCAAGCUUUUGGUGUUGACUUGUUGAACUGUGCAGGAUAUCGGACGCGUCUUGGUGAUUGGGACGUGGAGAAAGAUCUUGGCGUUAACAUUGGCGCUAGAAGGAGGGCUGAGUUCUAGUGUCUUGAGUAUUUUUCAAUCACAAACUGUAUUUGUUCUACGUCAAUAUUCAUGGUGAAGAGUAGAACACCUACACCCGAAGGGCAGCCUAUGGCUGUCAGUGAAUCAACACCGCGAGUGUCUGUCAAGGAUCGUUUGGGACCUGCAAUAAGUGUUCAUGCCAGCACAGCGUCCAAACGAUCACAUGAAGAUUUUCGGCCGAGGGCUGUGGGCAACGUCAAGCGUAAGCUAGUUUUCCUGACAGAGAAGGGUCUGGCCAUGGUCGAAAACGGGUAGAAAGCACCUCGCCUAGAACUCGAUACCGAAAUGACCAAGACGAAAAAGCCUCACGACUGGCUAAAAUGGCAGAUGAAGCGGAUAGGGCCAUGGAGGCACUUGUGAAACAGCGACAGGAUAUAGCUGAGCAAAUGGCUCGAAUGACGGAGUUGAGAGACGAAGAGUUCAGUUAUGUUCAGUCCGAAGAGCGAGGGCAUCGGAAUGGGAAGGAGCCUGCCCAUUCAGGACGUGGGUAUCGGGGCCAACCACGAGAAAGAAGAAGAUCCCGAAGCCCUACUCCUCAACGAUCGAAGAGGGCACAUCACCCUGUCGACUCUAAGGAGCAGGGUCGAAGCGAACGAAGAGGUCGAUUCAGAGAUCGCACUCCUGAGAGCACAAAGAAAGCACUUGUUGUUGCACAUUCCCGCCAGAGCGCCCGAGUUCAUAGACGAAGUAUAUCUAGAGAUCAUACUCCCAAGAGUCUACUGAGAGUAAAUCACCCUGUGGACGCUCGUUAUCGAAAAAGUCCCUCUAAAGUUGGAGGAUCUAUUGUAAGAAACCGGUCUACUCAGAAGAGGAAGGAGUCAUCGGAAAAAGAAGCAUCGUUACAACCAGAAGGCGUGGAGUAUCUGGUUAAAGAGUUAAAAGAGCUUCGGAAGCAGCUUGCCGAAGUGCAGAAAACGAAGGAUACUUCGGGAAAGAAGGCAUCCCUUUUUUCCGCGGAGAUUCUAAAAGAGAAGGCUGACCCCACGAAGAAGUUGCCCCACAUUGAAAGUUAUGAUGGAUCGGGGGAUCCUUAUGACCAUAGUCAGGCGUUCGACCGACUCAUGGAUUAUUAUGACUUUAGCGAUGCUGCUAAAUGCCAUACUUUUGUCACAACGCUUAGAAAGGAUGCCCGACAGUGGAUGGGGACCUUACCCUCGGAUUCAAUCUCAUCUUGGGAAGACAUGUGCAGUAAAUUUCAUGCUCGCUUUGGGAGCAACAAAAGAAGGGGAAAACCAACUGGUUCAUUGGCUCAAGUUCGGCAGUCUUCUAAUGAGUCUUUAGGCCAGUAUGUGAAGCGGUUCCGUGAAGCAGUCGGCCAAGUGGCAAACCUGAACGAUCUACAAGUUGUAGGACUAUUUCAGAAUGGGUUAGAUUUGGUCAAAUCGGAAAAGUUGGUGAAAAAACUAGUGUUCAAUCACCCGAAGAGUCUCGCUGAAGCCUUUGACAAAGCUGAAGGCUAUAUCGUGGUAGAGGAAGCCAUGAACAGCCUCAAACGUCCUUCUUCAGACCAGCUUAAGGAGACAGAUCGGGACAAAACCGAUGGAGAUCAGAAGAAGAAUGAAGGGAAUAAAGACCGUUAUGAGGGCGGGUCGAAGAGGCACAACAAUUGGAGACAGGGCGGAGGACGUUCGUCCACUCCAACUCAGAGAGUGAAUAGGACGUACAUGACACUCAAUACAGACAGGGCUGUUAUCUUGGAUCAGAUUAAAAAUCAACCUAUCUUCGAGCCACCUCGAGAUAACAUUAAGCCUGGAAAAGGGAAUCCUCGUAAGUAUUGUGAUUACCACCAAGCUUCGGGUCACGAUACGAACGACUGUGCUAGUUUGAAAGAUUUCAUUGAAAAAAAAGUACAAGGUGGGGCUUUAGUUCAGUAUGUGGCCGCCAGAACUAAUCAACAGCAAGACCGAGGACCCGUUCCGCCAACUCAACCAGUUCAGCAAGCGUUGCCAGCUCCGGGACAGCCUGCAAGACAUGUGAUAGAUGUCAUCACUGGGGGUACUUCUGGCAAGCUCGUUGGAAAGAAGCGCCGAAGCUAUUUGGAUUCGGUCAUGUCGGUGGCGGGUACCUUCCCGAAGACUGAUAGACCCUAUCCGAAUACGGUAAUCUCCUUUACUGAUGAAGAUUACCCUUCGGAAGUCAUCGAACCGCACGAAGGAUCAUUGGUGCUGACUGCACAAGUGGGUUCGGUGGAUAUGAAGCGGAUGAUGGUAGAUAAUGGAUCUUCUGUAGACAUCCUGUAUGCCCAUGCUUAUCAAAGGAUGAAUCUGGACGGGCGGAAGAUGGAGAUAGGACAGGAGGCUCCUCUGUAUGGUUUUAGCAAUGAUCCGGUCAAGGUGGUUGGAACCAUUGAGAUGCCGGUCAUCUUCGGGACGGCUCCUCAACAGGUAGAAAUUAUUUGCAAAUUUUACGUUGUGCAUGUUGAUUCUGCUUAUAAUGCUAUUUUGGGGAGGCCUACUUUAAUUGCUUUACAAGCUGUAACAUCAAUACCUCAUUUCAAAAUCAAAUUUCCUACGGCUCAUGGGGUUGGGGAGGUGAAAGGAGAUUUGGAUAUGGCCAGAAGGUGUUACAGAAAUGCUGUGAUCACUUCGGGAGUGGGGGUAUCGAAGCAGAAGCAGACUAUGGCGAUAGAAAUCGAGCCCUUCACUGAGAGUAGUUCCGAGCCAUUAGUCAUGCCAGCUGAAGAAACAGAAGAGAUAGAGCUCAUCCCGGGCAAGGUAAAUAAGACGGUGAAAAUAGGUUCGGGUUUGCCGGAACCUCUCCGGACGAACCUCAUGGAGCUCCUACGAUGCUAUGUUGAUAUCUUCGCGUGGGAACCUCAGGAUAUGCCAGGAGUAAGCAGGGAUAUUGCUGAGCACCAAUUGGAAGUAGACCCAUCAAAGAAACCCGUUCGACAGAAGAUGAGGAUAUUUGCACCUGAACGUCAGCGAAUCAUAGAUGAAGAGAUUGCAAAACUGUUGGAAGCUGACUUCAUCUUUGAGAUUGAUUACCCGCAGUGGAUGGCAAAUGUGGUGCUGGUCCAGAAACAGAAUGGUAAAUGGCGAGUCUGCAUCGACUAUACUGAUCUGAACAAGGCUUAUCCGAAGGAUUUUUACCCGCUGCCCCACAUUGAUCAACUCAUUGAUGCCACUUCGGGGUACGCUUUAUUAAGUUUUAUGGAUGCAUUCUCUAGGUAUCAUCAGAUCUCCAUGUGUAAAGAGGAUAUACCAAAGACGGCGUUCAUUAUGCAUCGUUCGGUAUAUGCCUACAAGAAAAUGACUUUCGGCCUCAUCAAUGCCGGAGCCACAUACCAGAGAAUAAUGAACCAUGUCUUCAGAUAUCAGUUGGGCAGGAAUAUUGAGGUGUACGUAGACGACAUGAUUGUCAAAAGCAUGUUGAUACAUAAACAUUUAGAUGAUUUAGAGGAAUGCUUUCAGACAAUUCGUCAUCACAAUUUGAGAUUGAAUCCCACUAAGUGCACCUUCGGUCUAGGGGCUGGCAAAUUUCUGGGUUAUCUUGUCAGUCAAAGAGGAAUUGAAGCCAACCUAGAGAAGAUUCAAGCGAUCCUGAGCAUGAAGACUCCUCAGUCAUUUAAAGAUGUUCAACGUCUGACUGGAAGGAUUACAGCUUUGAGGAGGUUCAUGUCCAAGUUUGCGGAAAGAUGUUUGCCAUUUUUUGAUACGUUGAAAGGGCCGAAGAAUGCAAAGACGUUCCAAUGGACUUCGGAGUAUGAGGACGCCUUUCAGAGCAUCAAGUCCUACUUAUCUUCGGCGCCUUUGUUGGUGAAGCCCGCUCCUGUUGAGCCUUUAUAUUUGUACUUGGCAGCUAGUUCGUUGGUGGUAGGAGCAAUUUUGGUGCAUGAAGUUGGGGUAAGCAGCACCCGGUUUAUUAUGUAAGCCAUGUCUUUCGGGAUGCUGAAACAAGGUACCCAAACAUUGAAAAGUUUGCUUUUGCUUUAAUAACUGCUAGUCGAAAGCUUAGGCAAUACUUCCAGGGUAGAUUGGUAAUAGUCUAUACAGAUCAGCCUUUAAAGAAGAUUAUGGGCAAACCGGAGGUAUCGGGAAGACUAGCUGUGUGGACGAUGGAGUUGUCCCAAUUUUUUAUUGAAUAUCAUCCUCGAACCUCCAUCAAAGGGCAAACCUUGGCUGAUUUUGUGGUUGAGUGCUCGUUUUCUGAAGCUAAUGAAGUUGUGACCGAGGUUGAAGGAUCUGACAGAGCUAUUGCGGUUCUUCAGCAGAAAGAGAGUUCAUGGACGUUGUAUGCAGAUGGGUCUUCUACUACAGACAUCAGUGGAGCGGGGAUUAUUCUGACGAGUCCGGAGGGAUUCAAGGUGCAACAGGCCAUCAGAUUUCAGUUUAAAGCGACGAACAACGAAGCUGAGUAUGAGGCGGUACUUGCAGGGUUACGAUUAGCAAAGAGUCUUGAAGUGCAGAGAAUAGUCAUCUUCAGUGAUUCUCAGUUAGUCAUUAAGUAACUCUCUGGGGAGUACGAAGCUCGAGGCCCGAGAAUGAUCAAGUAUUUGGCAGAAGUGAAAGAACGGCUUCGGUAUUUCCAGUCCUACGAAUUUCAGGGGGUCGAGCGUAAUAACGAUUCCAUUGCUGAUGCACUCUCCAAACUAGCCACUACGGAUGUUAACGUCUUUGAUGGGUCGGUUUACUUAGAAAUUUUGCAACAUCCUAGUGUUCAUCAUGAAGCGGUGAUGUGCGUCGACAGAACCAACUGCUGGUUGACUCCAUACCUGGAAUAUCUGGCAGAUGGCAUCUUACCUUCGGAUCGGAUGCUUGCCAAGAAAAUCAAGUACAAGAGUGCUAAUUUUGUUCUGAUUGAUGGGGAUCUUUUCCAAAGGGCCUUCUCGUCCCCAUUACUGAAAUGUUUGACUCCAUCUGAAGCUGAAUAUGCUCUCCGAGAAGUACAUGAAGGCAUUUGUGGCGACCAUACGGCUGCUAAGUCAUUAGCCUAUAAAGUGUUUCGUCAAGGGUACUACUGGCCUACCAUCUUCAAGGAAGCAACUGAGUACGUCAAGAAGUGCGAAAAGUGCCAGCUCAACAGUCCAAUACCGCAUCAGCCACCAGAAGAGCUAUACUCAAUCUUAUCUCCUUUACCCUUCGCUGUCUGGGGGGUUGAUAUACUGGGUCCGUUGCCGAAAGCAAAAGGUCAAGUCAGUUUUGUUAUAGUUGCCAUCAACUAUAUGACCAAAUGGGUAGAAGCAAAUCCACUUAGGUCAAUAACGGAACAGGAGUGCUUGAAAUUUUUGAAAGAGUCAGUAGUAUUUCGUUUUGGAAUUUCUAAGGUGGUAAUAUCGGACAAUGGACGUCAGUUUGUGGGAUCGAAAUUUGAAGCAUUCUUGAAAGAACUGGGGGUCCAGCACAGAAAGACUUAAGUAGCUCAUCCUCAGUCAAACGGACAGGUUGAAGUGACCAACAGAACGCUGCUGAAUGGGAUCAAGCGCAGAUUGGACGAAGCUAAAGGCAGAUGGCUAGAAGAGCUGCUAAGUGUGCUAUGGGCUUAUCGAACUACUCCAAGGACUACAACGGGGGAUUCACCUUUCAGAUUGGCCUAUGGCACUGAUACCUUAGUCCCAGUUGAAAUUGGAUCUCCAAGUCUUCGAGUUAGUCAAUUCAGAGAGAUCUACAAUGAAGAAGGGCUGAAGGCCAAUCUUGAUUUGCUUGAAGAAGUCAGAGAAACAGCCUUAAUCAAAUUGGCAGCCUAUCAGCGAAGAGUGGCUAAGCAUUAUAAUAAGGGGGUAAAGCUUCGCAGAUUUGAAGUAGGAGAUUUUGUCCUCAGAGAAGUCGAAGCAUCUACACCUCAGAAUCUGGGAAAGCUGAUGCCAAAUUGGGAAGGACCGUACGAAAUCACUGAAGUGCCGAAGCCGGGGACUUAUCGGUUGAAGGCAUUAGACGGGUCAGUAAUUAAAAAUACUUGGCACGCUGGCAGGCUUAGGAAGUACUUUCAGUAGAUUCAAUGUCAGUACAUCGGAAGUCUGUAAAUAUUUACAUCAUCAUCAAUAAAAAUUCCUCUUUUCUCUCAAACAAAUUUUGUCUCUGUUGCUGCUCAGUUCAUUGGUGUUAGGAGGUUCGGGAGGACUCGCUGACCAUUCGAUGGUAGCCUCUUCGGCAGGUGGUCCUUAUGAGUUUGUCAGGCCCUUCGUGGUAGGCAAACGUCAUUGGUGUUAGGAGGUUCGGGAGGACUCGCUGACCAUUCGAUGGUAGCCUCUUCGGCAGGUGGUCCUUAUGAAUUUGUCAGGCCCUUUGUGGUAGGCAAACGUCAUUGGUGUUAGAAGGUUCGAGAGGACUCGCUGACCAUUCGAUGGUAGCCUCUUCGGCAGGUGGUCCUUAAGGCAUUGUCAGGCCCUUCGUGGUAGGCAAUUGUCGUCACUUAGACCUUGUCAGGUCCUUCGUGGUAGGCAAGUGUCAUCCUUAAGGCAUUGUCAGGCCCUUCGUGGUAGGCAAGUGUUGUCCUCCAAACUUCGUCAGGCCCUUCGUGGUAGAUGACUGUCAUCUUUUGGUUCUGUUAGGCCUUUCGAGGUAAACAAACUCCCGAUGAAGCAGAUCUGUCUCACACUUCGGUAACUGAAUAAGUAUCUCUUUACUUUAUUACCUAAAAUUUUUCUAAGUGUUGAGUUCGGAAUGCCUCAUUCUUUAACCUCACUUUAUCUGUUAUAUGACAUGCUUAAUUGUUAAUUAACAAUUUGAGUUGAAUCCUUGAAGGGGUUUUGUACAUUUUUCCAGAUGAAUUAAUAUUGAAGUAUUGACAGGAAGUAAAAAUGCACUGAAGUCAUAAGGGAGAAGAUCACUUUUCAUUAAUAUUUAAUCUACUUACAAUAUUAGAAAAUAACAGAAAUUUCUACAAAUGUUCUUUAAAUAAAACCAAGGAAAAACAAAAGCUGUCGCUUCAGGCAGCGUCCUCGUCAUCUGAAGAGUCGAGCAAGGAUGGAUCUAUGUUGGCUGUGAUUAACUUCUCCUUGCCACGACUUCGGCAGAGCUCGUAGCUUUCAGUAUGUAUCUUCAUGAUCUCUCCGUUGAUUUCAUCCGAGUUCCGAUACUCUUCACAGAUUUGUUUGCGAAGAUCAUCAGUUAAAGGAGGCCCAAGGUCCCGAAGAGCCUUGAGUUCUCGGAUUUCUUCUUCGAGCUUCUGGCGUAUAUUCAUUUGACGAGUUUCUUCCCGCUCCAACUUAUGAAUCGUCUUAGUUAAGAGAGCUUAGAAUCAGCCUUUAGCUCUUUGAUCUUAUCCAUCCUUAUUUCACUCCUCUGAACCAAGUCGAAAUUCAUCUUAACGAACUCCUCAUACUGUGCUUUAGUCGACUUCAGUUCUUCCUUGGAUGUCUUUACGUCUCCCUUGGCUUGGGCCAGCUCUUUCUGAAGUCCUUCAUUUGUAUGAAGGACGCUUUCACGUUGGGUCCUUUCCCGAGCCAAAGCAGACUUCAGGAUGGCAUUCUCCUUCCUCAAUGCCUCUUCUUCGGAUUCAGCCUCGAGGGACCUCGGACGCAGACGCCCGAAUACAGCAUUCGCCUAUGCAUGUUCAGUAUUGUUUGAUCAGUUUCAGAUGUAUAAGUAUGAAGAUAAAUACGGAAAUAAAGGAGAGAAUCAUUUACCUUCGCCAAGUAGCUCAUGCCUUCGCUAAGUAAAUCCUUGUUCGAACUGUUCCCAAAUCGAUGGUCAUCGGUCUCAUGAACGAAGGCCUCGAACAGUUGAAAGGGGAAGUUGGCAUUAAAUCGGGGCAACAUGGUUGGAGAGGCCAUAACAUCAUGCUGAAAUUCAGUGGUCGUUUGUCUUGGAGGAGAGGGCAUAGGUUGAUUGCGAACCGGCGAGGGAUCCGCAUGUACCGUUUCUGGAGAAGGAGACCGGGAAGGAAUAGGUUCGGGUGUCGAGGAAGGAGCAGAGGUCGAACCUGGCUGGCUGUCUGAAGAUUGUUUUCUUUUUCGGGAUAAUAUAGGGACAGAUUCGUCCAGCUCAGCAUCAGGUGUUUGAGUUUCGGUUGGGACUAUCAGGGGAUUGACCGUUGAAGACGAUGGAACUCGGAGCUCUUCGGCAGUGAGGGGGGUUAUCUUUGAUCUUUUCUUUUUAACGCGAAGGACUUUCUCCCGAUCUUGUAGAGGUAUGUCAAAUAGGCUUCUCUUAAUUGGAGUUGAUUCAGAAGGUGCGAUAACAGGGUUGGGUGUAGGAGUUGCUUGUGGGAUUGCUUCGGGAAGAAUUUCCUAGUCACUUUCAGGAGUAGUUUCUGGUCGGGUGGAUUUGGCUUUCUUGGCGGCUCUUUUCCUUCGGCGAGGUCUGAGGGAUUCCUCGGGAAUAAGAGGUUCAUCAGCUCCGGGCCCAUCAUUUUGAGGAGAAGCAGUUGGUGGAUCGGUGACGGGGGGAUCAGUUCGGGAAGAUCCUUCAGUCGGAGGCUCUUCACUCGCAUCCGUAAUCUUCUCUGCCAAAAAGUCUCCCAGUUCUUUUACUUCCGAAGAAGUUGGUUGGAUCAGAGACACUGCAAAUAACCAUAUAUUAAAACCCUUGUCACUUAAAUACCUCAAAAAACUAUAUUACAGAGUUGUUCAAAACUUAUAUUUGUGAUCAUACAGCCAGGCUUGUUUGGUCAGAAGUGUAAAACUCCAUUCUUUUGGAGGAAUCUUCUUCAAAAAGUCUCCCAUCUCCUUCACACGCUCUUCGGAAAUAUCUCCGAAGUCAGCAGAGAUCCGAUCUGAGAUGGUCCAAUCUGGAAGAGUAAAGAUUUCUGGUCCUGUGACGAAGAACCAUUUCUCGUGCCAUCCCUUAUUGCUCGAAGGGGUACUCAUCAGGGACCUCUUCUCAAAUUUGGAGUUCGGGCGAGGAGAUUGUUUGCUCAGCAUCUUAAAGCCUCGUUCUCAGGAUCUACCGGCUGAGAAGAGGGUGAAGAAAAUGUCGACAGAGGGAGUAAUCCCUAACUCAUGGCAGAAGGCAAUGAAUGCCAAUAUGUGGAUGUAGGAAUUGGGCACCAGCUGAGCGAAACCCACUCCUAUGAACCCUAGGAGGGUAACAACAAAAGCGUGAAGGGGCAGACGAAUCCCCUUUUCGAGAAAGGUAGCCGGCAUGGCGACCCAACCAUCGGGCCGCUGGUACAUUCGCUCUUCAGGAGCAGGAGCCCUUAUAGCAUAAUUAUCUAGAAUCUGAUAACGAGUCCGGAGGGUACGUAUCUCAGAUUCCGUGACAGUAGAUGGAAUGUUGGCAUGAGGAAACUGUUCCCCAUCCUUGAAAAAAUCAGCUGCAGAUUGGGGGUUUGAACUCGAACCCUCUUGGUUAGGGUUUGGGUUGGGGUAAACUGUGCUAGUGGGAGUCACACGAAGAGGAGAAGUCUGGCUAGAGCUCGCAGUCACCAUUGUUGAAAUUUUGUAAGACAGAGAAAAAAGUUCUGGGAAGGAGAAGAAAGCUCAAAAGUUUAAAUUGGCAGGUAAAACCGUCAAAAUUGGUAAAGUUUACCUUUUAUAUUGACAGUUACACAGUAAUCGAGGGCGGCACAUUUAAUUCACAGCAAUGAUGGUGAAUUGGAAGAGGUAUCGUACGGUUUGGAUCUAAAUAUCUUGACCAGAGUGGACUUAUGUCUAUUGGGCCUCCCAUUUCUGUCUCUGAUGUCGAUUUUGACCAAAUUAGUUGGGCUUUGGUAAGUUUCACUCUGAACCUCUUGUGACUUAUCAUGAUCCGUUAUAUCAUGGGCCUAUAUUGUUUAUAGUCUUCCAUUAAACCCCCUGUUUAAUAAAAAACUAGGGGGCAAUGUUGGGUCAUGAUCCUUUUCCUUAUUGGGCCAGACUUAAUGGGCUCCUCCCUUGGAUUAUGUUACUUUUGUCCUAUUGAUCUGAAUGAUUUGGGCCCAAUUACUUGAUCAUUCCGUUGGGUUGUCUCGGUUGGAUCCGGUCAUAUGGGUCAUUUCCUUUAUUUGGGCUUAGUCAUUGAAUUUGCCCAUUAUGUAAAUUGUCACUUAACCCAACUUUGACCGGUAAUCAUUACGCCAAAUAAUAGUUGACUGUUAUGUCUACCACCUUUCUGCAUGGCAUUAAUGAGGAUGGGACUCAGAUGACUGGCGGUGGCAAAUAGUGGUAGUAGGUGAGGAAGUAGGCUACAUACUUUCGGCUGAAAUGACCGGGAGUGGGGAAAAGGUGUCAGGAGGUGAUGGGUGGCACGGUAAAUCGGGAUUGGAGUACGUAUGGGGCUAGGAUCACAACAAAAAGGGAGGUAAGUAAAAAAUUAUUAGAACACACGAUCAUAUUAUUAUUUUUCUCUCAGGCAUUAGACAUUAUUUUCCUUCCAUUGUUGACCUUGUAAUCGUCGAUACUGACUCUCACGUCGGAGUUAUCCCCCGACGGUCCAGCUGUCAAGCUUUUGGUGUUGACUUGUUGAACUGUGCAGGAUAUCGGACGCGUCUUGGUGAUUGAGACGUGGAGAAAGAUCUUGGCGUUAACAUUUAUCUUGAAGCUUUUGCUCUUUUCUCCAUUGUUUGUAUUAAUCAACACCAUCUCUCCUUAUGUAUCAGGUGUAUAGAUUGCUUAUGUUGAAUUUAGAAUUAUGCUUGGAAAUCAAGAUCACGUUAUAGAUAUAUUCUUUUAUAUAUAUAUAUAUAUAUAUAUAUAUAUAUUUGGCUCUCCAACAAAUUGGAUAGAACAAAUUGAAAAAAAUAAACUAAGAAUGAAUUAAUUAUAGCAAUAAUUUUUUUCGUCCCGUUAUAAAAAGCCGCUUUUUUGAAUUAUUAAUUUUAUUAGUAUCUGGAUUCAAAUAUGUGCAUUGAAUUACGCCAGUCCAAACAUGAUAUGACUUGGCAUAAAUUUAUGUUGUGUUUCAUGGUUAUACUGUUUGUGUUUUUAUAUCUUAAUUAGUGUUGUUAGUACACAUUAUGCGGGUGCAGUUAAUAAACAUAUCUAUUAAUAAUAUAAAUAGAUAUAUUCUUUUAUAUAUAUAUAUAACUGAAUGGAACGAACUAAGAAAAAAUUAAUUAUAGUAUCGGUUUUUUUCGUCAAUAUAACAUAAAAUACAUUGCUCCGCUCUCUCCAGCGAACGAAAGAAGCAAACUAAGAACGAACCAGCUAUAACGAAAAAAUUUUCAGUUCCUAAAAAAAUCUUGCAACAAGAUCAGGAAAGAUCGUGGAUUCUGAAAGAUGCAAAUUACAUGUAUAAUAGAGUUGAUUCAAAAAUGAAACUCGAGUUUAAGUUAACAAAAUCAUUUAGAGGAUGGUCUUUUUAAAAGAAAAAAGAAAGACUCUUCUCAAAUUUAAGUUUGAAAGUUUUAAAGACUAAUAGAGAAAAAAGAUGAUUAGACUCCACCCACUUUAAGUGGCUAAUUAACUUAAUCAAUUUGAUGAAUAGAAUUAUAGAAAUAAUUGUGCAAUUGCGUCAGCUUAAAAGUUUUCUAAGUAUUUACAGAUAAUCGACCAUCUUGCAAAUCUACCCUCAUUAUUUUAAUUUUUAAUUUUAUCAUUAUUUUAAUUUUUAAUUUUAUCAUUAAUGUUAAGCUAUGGAAUAAUAAUCAAUAAUAAGCCCUGGGACAUUUGACGGAGGCCCGACUAAACCUGAUAAACGGGUUUAAAACCUACGGAUCGGGUCGGGCUGUCCACUAAAAACGGGCUUUGGGCCGUAUUUUUUUAGUUCACAGAAAUUCGGGCCUUUUGUCCGAUCCGUUGAAAGUCGGCCUGACCCGGCCCAUUCAUUUUAAGCCAAAAAAAUAUCAAAAAAUAGACAUAUAAUACCUUCGGCUCACCCAUGAACCCGCGGGUUUUGGGCUUAUAUUUUUGGCCCGCCAAAACUCGGGUCGGCCUAGCUCGUUUGGCAGAUGUAGGCCCGACCAACCCUGAAAUUUUAUUUAAGCCUAUAAAAUUUUGAUAUUUUUAUUUCAGGCUCAGAAGGUUUAUGGAGAAUAUAUAUAAUACUCUUUGAAUUUUUAUUUUUAUUUUGAAGAAAGUACUUCUUCUCCUCCAAAUAUAAGAAUUAUUUUAAUUUUUUAAGUCAUUUUUCCGGGUAUCAUAAUAUGAAUAUCAAGUUUUAUGGUCAAUUAAUCAAUACAGUAUCGAUACACAUAUCGGGAGGUGAUAUCUUUCUGCGUGUGAGUACUGUAUUAAUCAAUUGACCAAUUUAUCAAGUUCAGCACCGGCCCUGGGCUUUAGGCCCACUAAAAUUGACAAAUUUUUAGGACUCCCAAGAUGUAUUUGUGUUAUGUAUAUAUAUACCCAAAUAAUAUAGACCAGUUCACGUCAGUUUAAAUUUAAAAUGAUCAUAAAAAAUUUAUCCAAUAAAAUAAGCUCAAUUUUUUUUAUUUUCGCUUUAGGACAUUAAAAACUCAUGACCGACACUGAUCAAAUUAAUUUUAUAAUAACCGAAUCUAUGAAUAAAUCUCACCUCUAUAUAAAAUAAAUUUAUAUAAAAAUAUUAUUAUUUUUAAUACGUAAAAAUAUCAAUUUUCUAAAAAAAUCCUCGCCCAUAUAGGAUUGACAUAUGAGUUAGGACCACAUAUUAAAAAGAAAUGUUUGACAUCCCAAAUCCCAAUUUCAUUUUAUGAUAUUAUUAUUGAAUUUUAUUGAAAGGCGUGGAACCAAACAAGGCUUAUCACAUGAGGUGGCGGGUGUGGUGAAGGGCCAUCUAACGUGUGGAUGCAAGCGUUACACGCUUCUUCUUUCGCUAACAAUCUCUAGAGGAAUCUAUCAAAUUUCAAUUAAAUAUCUACUAUGAUAAUAUAUAAUAUAUAUUAUUUUAACAUAUCAAGAUAUUAUGACAUAAAUUUAAUAUAUUAAUGUGUUAUACUUUUAGCUAUAUAUUCAUUUAUUUUUAUAUUCUUCAUCCGUCUUAAAAAUUAAAUAUUAAGUUCGAUUUUUUUAAAUAAAUACUGUAUAAGUUAUUUUAAAUUUUAAAUUAAUAUAAUUUAUUUAAUUUUUAAAUAUGAUAAACUUGUCUUACUUUUUUAAAUAAUUUAUAAUUUUCAUAUUUAUGUUAUAUAAAUUAAAAAUACAUUACGUUUAGGAAAAAAAUAAUAAUUACAAGGUGUAAUUAGAUAUUUUUUAAAUAUCACAAACUUCUACAACGUACCAAGUAAGUUUUAAAGUGCAAAAUAUAUUUUAAUAAAAAUUAUAGUAAUUCUAUAUUUUAAAAUAAAAGAAAGAUUAUAUACAAAGAGGGAUAAGAAGUAAUUUAAUUCUCUUUAUUUAAAAAAUUGAUUGCAGUUUUAGCAACAAUUAUUAAUCAAAAUCUUUGGUAGUUGUGGAAUCUUUGGUAGCAACAGUUACAUAUAUAAUAGUCGAAGUUUUAUGGUAGUUGUGGAAUUUUUGGAAGCUUUUGCAACAAAUAUUAAUCAAUUUCAUCCAACUAAAAUUCAUAUUCAAACAAAUAUCAAAAUUUUUAAGUCGUUAGCAUAAAAUUAAUUUUGAUUAAUUAAUCAAUAUAUUGUCGAUACACAAAUCAGAAGGCGAUCUCUCUUUGCAUGUUAGCAUUAUAUUGGUCAAUAGACUAACUUACCAAGAGUGAUACCCAGAUCCAAAAUCACCUUUAUAAUUCGGAUCCGGUUACCUUGAAGUUAACUUCAUUAUAAGUUGGUCAAUUGAUGAAUAAAAUAUUGACAUACAGAUAGAGAUCACCUUCCGACCUACGUGUUAAUUCUGUAUCUCUUUAAAUCGGAUCCGGUUAGUAUGAAGUUUAUUUUUUGAUAAAUUGACCAAUUGACAAAUAAAAUACCGACACACAUAAAAUCUCUUGCGUUCAUUAGCAUUCUAUUGAUCCAAGCUUGCGGUUCUUAUGGAUCAAAUUCAAAAACACAAAAGAAGUGAUGAAAGUCAACUUGACUAGGCUCAUAUUUCAGUCUCAUUAACUUUAGUACUAGUUUAAUUAAUCAAUUAUGGACCAAUUUUCAACUGGAACUACCAAAUCCCAAUCCCGAACAAGAACAAUAAGGAAAUAAUAAUUGACGUAACCAAGCAACACCCAGGCUUUUCUUGAUAUUUCUAGUACUUUCAAGGGUAUUCCUGUAUUUCCAGUCAAAGCAAAAAAUAAAAAUAAAAAUAAAAAUCCAAAAAGCUGUACAGUUGAUAUAAUCAUUAAUCACAUCGGGCGGGAUCGUCGCGAAACCAACGACAGAAAGCACGUGACAUCACUUAACCCAAGUUGACAAGUCAAAUAACUCCUGCAUGUACAGCACGUACACGUGUCAGCCCGUCCAGAACUUUCAGAACAUUGAACCGGGUUUACCGAAUUACCCGGUCUCGGGAAAAGUGGGCCGGUGUCUAAUGUAUGAACAGAACACCUAGAUUUAGAUUAGGCAUAUUUUAGACCAAAGUAAUUAACUCGUGUCAUAAGACAUCUUUUUUCCCGCUAAAAUUUUACUCAAAAUAAGUAUAAAUUAUUAUUUAGUAUUUAUAGUAUUUAAAAAUUCAAAUACAUUUAAAAAUUUUAUUAGUCUCAUAAUAAUUUAUUUUAAAUAUAAUUUAUUUAAUUUUUAAAAAUAAUAUUUGUGUCACAAACGCAACACAUUAAAAUUAGUGUGGUGUGUUUGAAAAUUUAAACGCUCUAAAAUUCUACAAACGCCGGUAGCCGAACACCGAACAAACUCAAAAUAUUAGUGUUAUAUAUAAUUAAAUUAUCAAAAUAAGAUUAUUAUUAUUAUUUUUUGAUUAUAUUGUUUAUUUUAUUUCAUAGCAUUAAAAAUUCAUUGAAGCUAAUUUAUAGCAAUUUCUUUUUCUUUUUCUAGUUUAUUCUUGUGUUUAUUUAAAGGACAAAAGUCGGGUCCCAAUCAUAUAUUUUAAAAUAUCAAAAACUUUAAAUAUAUUUGUGAAACCCCAGAUUUUAUAAAUAAAAAAUUAAUUUUUUUGAAAUAAUUUUUUAAUAUUAUGGUGUGAAUUUGAGAUAAUGUUAUAGUUGUGGGUAGUAUUUAUAAAUUUUGCAAAGUAUGCAAGUUGUUAUAUUAUAUUCAAUUGGUCAGAGAAUAUUCUUUGUGUCGGAAAAUAUUCGUACGACGGUACAAUCAUUGGUGGACCCCACAACGGAAUUAUUGUCGGAUUGAAAAAAUGACAAAAAUAUUUUAUUGAAAAUAAUGGCGGAAGUUUUACCGUUGAUACUGUUGAACUACUCGGUAGUAAAAAUACAGUAAUACGCGUUGUUGCAUAGUAGCACACGGUGUUAAUUAUUGAUAUUUAUGUGAGAAGUCACUCAGUUUGAUUCAAUUAUUGUCAAUUAAUAAUAUGAAUUAUUUAGCGAUAAUGAAGUUUUGUUUUAUUCGUAUUAUUAACGUAAUAAAACAGAAACAUCUUUUUAUAUAAAACAUAAUACUUUAUUAAAGUUAUUAUAUAAAUAUAAUAUAUUAUAUUUUAUUAUGCAUAGUGUUGCAUAGUAUUUGUGACUCCCCCAAAAUAGGUAUACAACACCCAUUCUGAGUCGCCAAAUACAUGGUACAUAAAGCAAACUAUAACUUUAAUAAUACAAAUAUCGUGUGAAAUACGACAAUACAUACUAUGAGUUUAAAUACAAAUAUUAUCUUCUAGACAAUAUCCACACGCAAAUAAGUCCUCAUUAUAAUUAUUCAAACACUAUUUUAUAGAAAUAGUGAGGACUGCUAAAACAUCUUUCUAGAACCAUCACUCUAUACCCCGACUCGAUCCUGCUAUGUUCUCACAUCCUGAGAAGAAAAAUGGAACAAAAAGGAAAAGGGUGAGCUCAACUAGCCCAGUAAAGAAUAUUAUGAUUAAGAUAAUAUACAACAAAUUAUCGUUAGUCUUCAACAGGGAAAAAUCUGAUAGAAUAUAAUAGACAACAAGUUUUAGAUCAACAAAUACAGCGAAAACAUCAAUCUAUUAGAAGAGUUACGUAGAGGAUGAAUUCUCCUAUCUUCUAAUAUUUAAGAGUCGAUCAUCAAUAUUUUAUCCCUGUAAUAACAAUCAAUAUACAUCUUUUAAUCAAAUAUUCAUCUUUGCACUACAGGCCAAAGAUAUUCAUCAGUUAAUCAUUCAUCUUUGCACUACAGGCCAAAGAUAUUCAGUGAUAUCAUCAUUUAGGACUGAUGAUGAUGAAAAAUAUUUUAAAGAAACGAAUCCAGUGAGAUAGAAGGACAAAUAUUAGGGAUUCGUAUAACAGUUUAUCCAAGAUUAAUAAUACUUCAUAAUAAUCGAUUUUGAAGCAGAAUUCAAAAAUAACGAUCAAAACUUGGAUACAAUCAAAGAUAGUGAUCAUAAUAGACAUCUUGGACAAAAAGGAAAUUUUUUAUUUUUUGGUGAAUAAUGUCGUAUACGUGAAUAGUUCCGUAUACAUGAAUAGUGCCGUAUACAUGAAUAGUAACCCCGACACAAAAAGUUCUAAAUUUGAUUAAAAAGUUCACCAAUAUUUCGGCAUAAUGAUAUUGAAGAAAAUAAUAUCAUUUAAGAAGAAAAUAACAUCCCUUACCUCAAAAUAACUGUAUUUCUGACUGAAUAUCGGAUAGAAAGCUGACAGAAACUCGCACCGUAUAGCAACACUCAAAGUAUCAAAAUACUCACUAAAAUAUACUCAACAAUAUAGAGAGAAAAAAAACUUGUUUCUGGUGUGAUUUUCAAUUCUAACUUAACCCUCUAUUUAUAGGAAAAUACUAGAACGCCAAAGGAGACUAAAAUAAUAAAAUAUUAUUAUUUCUUAUCAAAAUUCUUCGCAUGUGCUAAGUUUGAAAUUAGAGCAGCCACCAUUGAACAAAUUCCAGCAGCCCAUGUGUAUUCAACACAAGUGGGUCCUACCCAUAAUUUAAAAAAAAUCAUUUUAUUUUCUGAAACUUCAACAAUUCAUAGAAAAUAAACCGCUUAUCAGAAAAAUACAAAUUUUAUGUCCAUUCUGCCUAAAAUUGAAUUCUCUACAACUUUGUAGCUUUGAGUUUUUCCAAAUUCCAAACCAAAAAUAUUCGAAAUCCACAAACGGAUGAUUUUUAAUACUUCCAGUCCGACAAAAUACUGAUAAAACACCUCAGAAUUAAUUCCUUCAAUUAUAUCCAUAUAAAAUAAAUAUAUCCAUCAUCUAUAUCAAAUAAAUAUUUCAUUAUCAUAUAAAUUAAUAAUUAAUUAUUCACAAAUAAUAUUAGAAAAUCACAAUUAUAACAACCAGGCCGUUCCCAGAAAAGAGGGGGCUUUCCAAUAAGGAUUUCUCCCUACUGGCGCGCAAUUAGAUUAUCUAACCUCUCCUCGACAGAACUUUCUAGACAUUGUCAAUAAUGUUAUCUAAUAAUAUUAUUCAAAUAAUAUGAAUUAUUAAUCUGAUAAUGAAAAAUACUGUGCAGUGACAAUUAUUGAAAUAAUAAUAAUAUAAAUUAACAAUGCAGCAAUUAUUGAAUCAAUAUAAUAAAAUAAUGAAUAGUAACUAUUGUAACAAUUAUUGAGUAGUGCCUUCUUACGUACGAAUCAAUAAUUCAACCAUACUGUGUAAUACCGUGUGCUACUGUGCAACCACGCAUAUUACUGUAUUUUAACCACCAGGUAAUCCAACAGUGUUAACGAUAACAAUUUACGUCGUUAUUUAUAAAACUCAAUCUUUGUCGUUUUUUUUCAUCCAACUGUUUUCUGUUAUGGGGCCCACAAAUGACUGCGCCAUCGUACGGAGAUUCCCGACAAAAAGAAUAUUUUAUAACCACUUGCUUAUUUUGUAAAAUUUGCACAUUUCACCCAUAACCAAAGCAUUAUAUCAAAUUAACCCUUAUUAAUUUAGAAUAAUGAAUAGAGGAAAAAUUAAUUUAUUUAUAAUAAGUUGGGGUCUUACAACCUCCCCUCUUAUAAAAUUUCGUCCUCGAAAUUGACGUACGUACCUGGUGUUUUGAACAGGUGAGGGUACCUCGCUUUUAUUUCUGAUUCCAACUCCCAGGUUAUUUCUUCAAUAGCAUGGUUCCUCCACAAAACCUUAACUUGUGGUAUAACUUUCGUGCGUAGGACAUGCUCUUUCCUAUCCAAGAUCUUAACAGGUAUCUCCUCGUAUGUUAAAUCUUCGGCUAUCUCGUCUGGUUCUAACUCAAUAAUAUGGUUCGGGUCUUUCACAUAUUUACGAAGCAUAGAUACGUGAAAAACAUUAUGAACACGGGACAUGUUUGGAGGUAAUGCGAGUCUAUAGGCCACGUUUCAUAUUCGAUCAAGAAUCUCAAAUGGACCAACAAACCUUGGAUUGAGCUUUCCUCUCUUUCUAAAUCUUGUAACUCCCUACCAUGGAGCAACACGUAACAGUACAUGAUCCCUAAUAUUAAAUUCCACAUCUUUUCGAUGAAUAUCAGCAUAACUCUUUUGUCGAUCCUGUGAGGUUUGAAUACGUUAUCGAAUCAUUUGGAUCUUUUCUGUAGUCAUGCGUACUAAUUCUGGUCCCAACAACGUUGCUUCUCCCACCUCGUCCCAACAUACUGGAGAACGACACUUUCGUCCAUACAACGCCUCAAAUGGAGCCAUACCUAUACUUGCUUGAUAACUGUUGUUGUAGGAGAAUUCCACCAGUGGCAAGUACUUAUCCCAACUUCCUUUGAAAUCUAGAACACAGAGUCUUAAUAGACCUUCAAGGGUUUGAAUAGUCCUCUCUGAUUGUCCGUCUGUUUGAGGAUGAUAUGCUGAACUGAAUCGUGAAUCUGUGCCCAUAGCUUUCUGCAAGCUAACCCAAAAUCUUGAAGUGAAUCUUGGGUCACGAUCUGAAACUAUGGAUACUGGCAUGCCAUGCAAUCGCACAAUCUCAUUCACGUACAUACGAGCAAGACGUUCAAGGGAAUAUGUCUCACAUAUCGGCAAGAAAUGAGCAGACUUGGUUAAUCUAUCAACAAUAACCCAAAUCGCAUUUAUACCUUGAGAAACAUUGGGAAGACCCGUAACAAAAUCCAUGGUAAUGUGUUCCCACUUCCAUUCCAGAAUCUCAAGUGGUUGCAAUGGACCCUUUGGCACUUGAUGCUCCGCCUUUACACGUUGACAUGUUAAACAUCUUGAGAUAAACUCCGCGAUCUCUCUCUUCAUAUUGUUCCACCAAAAUGUAUGUCGAAUAUCAUGAUACAUUUUGGUACUCCCAGGAUGGAUUGCAAACGGGGUGUUGUGUGCCUCCAUCAUGAUUCUAUGCUUCAGGUCAGAAUCGUUAGGAACGCAAAGUCUAGAAUUGACUCGAAGUAUUCCUUCCUCAUCAAUUCUUGCUUCCGGAAUAGCUCCUUCUUGCACUUUCUUCUUCAUACGCAUCAGCCCCAGGUCCGUAGCUUGAGCAGCUUUAACUUUAUCGAUUAAAGUCGGUUCUACUUGUAUAUUCGCCAUCAUUAUGUGGGUCCCUGGAGUCUUUAAUUCUACCUCCAUCCUUUGCAAGUCAUACAAAAUGGGCCUUUGCGUUGACAAUAUCGCACUCGUACUUGCAUAUGAUCUUCUACUUAAUGCGUCAGCUACUACGUUCGCUUUUCCAGGAUGAUAUUGAAUAGUGUGAUCGUAAUCUUUUAACAGCUCCAGCCAACGUCGUUGCCGCAUGUUGAGUUCUUUUUGGGUGAAGAAAUAUUUGAGGCUUUUAUGGUCCGUAUAAAUCUCCACUUUCUCUCCAUACAAGUAGUGUCUCCAUAUCUUCAACGCGAAUACGACUGCUGCCAACUCUAGAUCAUGAGUAGGAUAAUUCCUCUCAUAUUCUUUGAGUUGUCGUGAGGCAUAGGCUAUGACUUUCCCAUGUUGCAUGAGAACACAUCCUAACCCCUUGCCAGAAGCAUCGCUGUAGAUAACAAAUCCAUCUGAACCAGAUGGUAUUGUCAGAACAGGUGCCGAAAUGAGUCUCCUCUUGAGCUCUUGGAAGCUCUUCUCGCAUUCCUCGCUCCAUAAGAAUUUUGCAUCCUUCCGAGUCAGCUGAGUUAACGGAGUAGCGAUUCGAGAAAAUCCUUCCACAAAUCUCCGAUAAUAACCAGCUAAGCCCAGAAAGCUGCGUACUUCGGUCACCGACUUCGGUUGCUCCCAACUUUGUAUUGCUUCAAUCUUCGCCGGGUCAACAGAUACUCCUUGUUUUGACACCACGUGCCCAAGGAAUGCUACUUCCUCAAGCCAGAACUCGCAUUUCUUCAGCUUGGCAUAAAGCUUGUGUUCACGAAGUCUUUGUAGUACCAGCUUCAAAUGGUGCUCAUGAUCUUCACGGCUUUUGGAAUAGAUGAGGAUGUCAUCAAUAAAGACAACAACGAACUGAUCCAAAUAUUCCUUAAAUACACGGUUCAUCAUAUCCAUGAAAGCAGCAGGAGCAUUAGUCAAUCCAAAAGACAUGACCAAGAAUUCAUAAUGCCCGUAUCGAGUCCUGAAUGCCGUCUUUGGAAUAUCCUCAGUUUUAAUCUUCAGCUGAUGAUAUCCAGAACGAAGAUCGAUCUUUGAAAAGAAUUGCGCUCCUUGUAACUGGUCGAACAGGUCAUCAAUGCGAGGUAGCGGAUACCUAUUCUUGAUGGUGACAUGGUUCAAUUCUCGAUAGUCAAUACAAAGUCGCAUACUCCCGUCUUUCUUCUUUACGAAUAAAACAGGAGCACCCCAAGGAGACGUACUAGGACGAAUGAAACCGAUGUCUAAUAACUCCUGUAGUUGGACUUUUAACUCCUGAAGUUCAAUAGGAGCCAUUCGAUAUGGGGUUUUAGAAAUGGGCUUUGUACCCGGUUCAAGGUCAAUAAAGAAUUCAACAUCACGUUCUGGGGGUAGACCGGGAAGCUCUUCAGGAAAUACAUCAGGGAAUUCUCUAACCACAGAAAUAUUAUUCAAAUCUGACUUGUCUUUAUUCAAAUCCAUAACAUGGGCUAAGAAAGCUUGACAUCCGUUUUUCAAUAAACGAAUAGCUUUGUGGCUUGAUAUGACAGUGACUGAUUUUAGUGGUUUAGUGGUUUGAAUUCGUAUGACAGGUUGGUUAGGAAUAUGAAAACUAACAACCUUACGAAAACAAUCAAUUUUGGCAUGAUGAGUGGUUAACCAAUCAAUUCCUAAAAUCACAUCAAAAGCAAGUAUCUUUAAAGAGAUAAGAUCAACAGGUAAUGUGAUAGUGCCAACUUGGAUCAUGCAAGAUUUAUAAACUGUAGAUGUAACGAAGGUUUCACCCAACGGAGUUUCAACAGAUAAAUCAAAAUCUAAUUUUUCUGGCGUCAAGUUUAAACGUUGAGCACAAGCAGGAGAAAUAAAAGAAUGGGUAGAACUGGUAUCUAGUAAGGUAUAAACUUCGCAAGAAUUCAAGAUUAGCUUACCUGUGAUCACCUCGUUCGGGUUCCUCAUGUUUUGGCCAGUAACAACAAACGCUCUUCCAGGAACCGCUGAUUUCGACUUAUCCGGGACAGCCCUUGGAGUCACCACUCCCGCUGAACAUGGUUUCGCUAUAGUACAAUCUCGAGCGAUGUGGCCUUCCUUUCCACAAUUGUAACAUACCUUGGAUUGUUGUGGACAGUUUGGACUGAUAUGUCCCUCUUUCCCGCAUUUGUAACAUCUAACUGGCGGUCAUUCUCCUCCCCUAGAAUUUGUUGUUGGUGCUGAUGCUGCUGCUGAUGUCUUCCCGUCAUUGUUGAAUCUUCUCUUUCUGAAAUUUCCACUUAACUCACCUCUCCUAUUAUCAUGUCCAUGAUUACCACCUAAGUGGUUACCGCCUUUGUCUGUAUUUUUCCUUCCUCGCUGAUUAUCAUCGUUCUGAUGACUGCUGUCACCGGUAUGACCCUGGUUGUGGUCCCUCGGUUGAGUAUACUCACUAUCUCGCUCUAAUAACUGAGCCCUGUUUACAACAUCUGAAUACAGAGAAAAUUUAUGAGAUAUAAGGUAUUGACGAAUCUCGGGUUUUAGACCUCUCAGAAACAUCCGCGUCAUACGUUCCUCAUUCUCCACCAAAUGAGGUACACACCUGGAUAACUCUGCGAACUUUGCCUCGUACUGAGACACCGUCAUGUUGUUCUGUUCGAGUCUAAUAAACUCUACCUCCUUCAUAUGACGAAUACUUUCUGGAAAGUACUUAUCAUUGAACAGUUUCUAAAAUCUUUCCCAAGACAUGUUGAGUGCAGCUGGCUGGGUACGCUUCAUGGAUUCCCACCAGUAAUCUGCCUCUCCACGGAACAUAAAGGUGGUGAAUGGAACAUUCUGCUCCUCUGUGCAUCCCAAGACAUCGAAUAUUUUGGUAAUUUGCUUGACCCAUGUUUCCGCUUUAAUCGGAUCGGGCUUUCCCCAGAAAUUUGGUGGUUCCAACUCCUUGAACUGCUUGGCUGUGACAGACCGUGCGUUGCCAUCACUUCCACCCGUAUUUUAUACACGAGUCUCCCUCGUCUGGUUUUGCAUGAACUGCAAAAAGCACCUAAACAUUCCAUCGUUCAUCGUUUGCUCGGUAGUGUUGUUUACAGGAGGAAUAUUGCCUUCCUGUUGCACGUUCUCCUAGUUUGUGACUAAAGUUUGUUCCACCGUCUCAUAUACUCCAUUGUUAACGUUCUCAGCAGCCAUUCUUAAAUACUUCCAUAAAACAAGGGUUAAUUAAACAAAUUAACAUAUCACAUAAUAUCCCAAUAUUAUGGCCAACUAACAAAUAAGCUUAGAUAGGACACACUAGCGAAGGAUUAACUCGUCUCUCCCCUCCUAGUUCUAUUCUCCGAUCUCCGCCAGAGACCAUAUCCCUAAGCUUUGAUACCAACUGUGACGCCCCCAAAAUAGGUAUACAACACCCAUUCUGAGUCGCCAAAUACAUGGUACAUAAAGCAAACUACAAAUUUAAUAAUACAAAUGUCGUGUGAAAUACGACAAUACAUACUGUGAGUUUAAAUACAAAUAUUGUCUUCUAGACAAUAUCCACACGCAAAUAAGUCCUCAUUACAAUUAUUCAAACACUAUUUUAUAGAAAUAGUGAGGACUGCUAAAACAUCUUUCUAGAACCAUCACUCCAUACCCUGACUCGAUCCUGCUAUGUUCUCACCUCCUGAGAAGAAAAAUGGAACAAAAAGGAAAAGGGUGAGCUCAACUAGCCCAUUAAAGAAUAUUAUGACUAAGAUAAUAUACAACAAAUUAUCGUUAGUCUUCAACAGGGAAAAAUCUGAUAGAAUAUAAUAGACAACAAGUUUUAGAUCAACUGAAAUUCAGAUAAGACACACUUAGAAGGGGGGGUUGAAUAAGCGUGGAUACAAACUAUGACCAAUUAAAAACUUUAAAUCAAAUUGCGGAAUGUAGUCAACUAUAUUUGUAAAUACAGCUUGCUGAAUGAAUAUGGUCUACCGAAUUAAAUUUAUGUUUAAGAAAAUAUCUUGGUUUUUUUGUAAAAUAAAAUAUUUUGUGAAAAUAGAUAAUUAAAAUCAGUUAACUUGUGAGAUAUAAAGAUAGAGCAAGUAAUAGUAAAUAACACCAACAUUUUUACGUGGUUCGGUUAUUACCCUCUAUAUAAUAACCUACAACACGUCCAAUACCAACUAGUAUUGGAGACUCACUUUUAUUUCUUUAAAAAUGACCCUUGUUACAAAACAAAUUCAAUCAAAUUGAAUAACAAUAAUUCACUUGAGCACACUUACUCCUUGUGCACCAAUGCACCCCUUAAGCUUCUAAGCUUCCUUGAACCUGUUUGUAAAUAAACCUUAAUCCACCUGAAUUAAAUUCCCUUUAGACAACACUAAGUCUAAAAACAAAUAAGAUUACAAUGAUAGAGGUCUAAUGAUCAAAGCAAAUAAACAAUUUAACAAUGCAAGGCUCGACUAAUGAAUGCAAUGAUCAAAUAGAAAUAGUAAAAGAUAUCACCAAUUUAAUGCCCACGCAAAUUGACUGAAUAUAUCAAUGAAUCAGCAGCUCAAAAUUUGCACCGGAAACAGAAUAGCUUUCAAAGUAUAUAAGUGCAAGAUAUUAAAUCGAGUGUUGUUGUAAGUAUUGAGACUGAUUCUCAGUUCUUUAUAUAGACCAAACAAAUAUUACCGUUGCUAAAAUAAAAUUACGUUGUAGAAUAAGAAGAGCAACGUUAAUAAUUUUCUGUUGAAAAAAAACAAACGUAACAAAUAAAUGUUUGGAUAAAUAUUGGACUGUCUCAAAGAUAAUAGAGACCAAGUCAAAUAGAACUAGAUCUAUAGCAACUUAUGAUUUAUGAUAGAGAUUAAGUCAGCCAAUAACAGUAACUCAAGUGCCGUCACUUAUCAUGAUAGUAACGGAACAAAUUCCAACUUCUUAAAGAUAAUCAUGACUUCCCUCUUUCAAGGUAUGUGCCAAUUAAAGCUCUACUACCAUAUGCAACUAACAAUUUCCAAUAUGCAGCUUUUAGACUUCUAUUUAAAAACCACUACUGCCAUUUAUACUUCCUUUCUAUUAAAAUUCCAACCCGUAAUAAAUAGAAAACAAAUUAUAUUCAACUAAUCCUGCACAUGCAUAAUAUAUCAGGACAAAUAUUAGGGAUUCGUAUAACAGUUUAUCCAAGAUCAAUAAUACUUCAUAAUAAUCGAUUUUGAAGCAGAAUUCAAAAAUAACGAUCAAAACAUGGAUACAAUUAAAGAUAGUGAUCAUAAUAGACAUCUUGGACAAAAAGAGAAAUUUUUAUUUUUUGGUAAAUAGUGCCGUAUACAUGAAUAGUGUCGUAUACGUGAAUAGUAAUCUCGACAUAAAAAGUUCCAAAUUUGAUUAAAAAGUUCACCAAUAUUUCAGCAUAAUGAUAUUGAAGAAAAUAAUAUCAUUUAAGAAGAAAAUAACAUCCCUUACCUCAAAAUAACUGUAUUUCUGACGGAAUAUCGAAUAGAAAGCUGAUAGAAACUCGCAUCGUAUAGCAAUGCUCAAAGUAUCAAAAUACUCACUAAAAUAUACUCAACAAUAUAGAGAGAAAGAAAACUUGUUUCUGGUGUGAUUUUCAAUUCUAACUUAGCCAUCUAUUUAUAGGAAAAUGCUAGAACGCCAAAGGAGACUAAAAUAAUAAAAUAUUAUUAUUUCUUAUCAAAAUUCUACGCAUGUGCUAAGUUUGAAAUUAGAGAAGCCACCAUUGAACAAAUUCCAGCAGCCCAUGUGUAUUCAACACAAGUGGGUCCCACCCAUAAUUUAAUAAAAAUUAUUUUAUUUUCUGAAACUUCAACAAUUCAUAGAAAAUAAACCGCUUAUCAGAAAAAUACGAAUUUUAUGUCCAUUCUGCCUGAAAUCGAAUUCUCUACAACUUUUUAGCUUUGAGUUUUUCCAAAUUCCAAACCAAAAAUAUCCGAAAUCCACAAACGGAUGAUUUUUAAUACUUUCAGUCUGACAAAAUACUGAUAAAACACCUCAGCAUUAAUUCUUUCAAUUAUAUCCACAUAAAAUAAAUAUAUCCAUCAUCUAUAUCAAAUAAAUAUUUCAUUAUGAUAUAAAUCAAUAAUUAAUUAUUCACAAAUAAUAUUACAAAAUCAUAAUUAUGACAACUAGGCCGUUCCCAAAAAAGAGGGAGCUUUCCAAUAAGGAUUUCUCCUUACUGGCGCGUAAUUAGAUUAUCUAACCUCUCCUCGACAGAACUUUCUAGACAUUGCCAAUAAUGUUAUCUAAUAAUAUUAUUCAAAUAAUAUGAAUUAUUGAUCUGAUAAUGGAAAAUACUGUGCAGUGACAAUUAUUGAAACAAUAUUAAUAUAAAUUAACAAUGCAACAAUUAUUGACUUAAUAUAAUAAAAUAAUGAACAGUAACUACUGUAACAAUUAUUGAGUAGUGCCUUCUUACGUACGAAUCAAUAAUUCAACCAUACUGUGCAAUACCGUGUGCUACUGUGCAACCACGCAUAUUACUGUAUUUUAACCACCAGGUAAUCCAACAGUGUUAACGAUAACAAUUUACGCCUUUAUUUAUAAAACUCAAUCUUUGUCAUUUUUUUUUCAUCCAACUGUUUUCUGUUAUGGGGCCCACAAAUGACUGCGCCGUCGUACGGAGAUUCCCGACAAAAAGAAUAUUUUAUAACCACUUGCUUAUUUUGUAAAAUUUGCACAUUUCACCCAUAACUAAAGCAUUAUAUCAAAUUAACCCAUUUAAUUUAGAAUAAUGAAUAGAGGAAAAAUUAAUUUAUUUAUAAUAAGUUGGGGUCUUACAGUGUUGUAUAGUGUUUGCAUAGUAAAAAUCUUUUUAUAUAAAUAAAAUAUAUUAUAUUUUAUUUAAAAGAUUUUUCUUUAAAUAUGGACCGUCAGAUUAAAGUAAAUCAAUCUGGACCGUUCAUGGAUUAGUUACUAUGCAUUCCAUUUUCCUAUAAAUAGGAAGCUUAGUUAGAAUUGAAAUCACACCAGAAGUUCAGAGAAUUCUCCUUCUAUAAUCUUGAGCGUAUUUCCUUAUGAGUUUUAAGAAACUUUGAGCGAAGAACAUAGUAUAAGUUUUCUUUAAGAAAAUCCUCACCCUAGCAGUCGGAAUAUUCUUCUUUUACGGUAAGGGAUAUUAUUCUUUUAUAUUCAUGAAGAGAACUGUUGUUAUUCCAUUUUUUAUUAUUCUGUUGGAAUAACCUGUAUACGCGGAAUACCCUAUACUUGGUGACAUUCUUCUAUUAUUCUGUCUUUAUUAUUCUGUUGGAAUAUCUUGUCUGUGUGUUUUACACCAGACCUGGUUCCAUUUUAUUAUUACGUCUUUAAUAUUCUGUCGGAAUAUCCUGUCUGUGCUAUACGCCGGACCUGGUUCCAUUUUAUUAUUCCGUCUUUAAUAUUCUGUCAGAAUAUCCUGUCUGUGCUAUACGCUGGACCUGGUUCCAUAUUAUUAUUCUGUCGGAAUAUCCUGUCUGUGCUAUACGCCGGACCUGGUUCCAUCAUUUAUUAUUCUGUAUUUAUUAGUCUAUGCGAAGUACCGCAUGCAUGGUGAUAUCUUUUGUUAUUCCAUUCGGUAUUAUACUCAGUUGAUUAAAUUUUGACUUCUAUACUCCAUGAAAUUAGUGGAAUAUCCUUGAUAUUUGCGCUUCAUCCAGUAUUUUUUAUGAAAAUAUUCUUCUGAGCAUUCUUGAUUUUUAUUCUACAAAGAAGUAUCAUGUGGACAAUUUGGACGUUAUUGGUUCCUGGACAAAUUAAUUCUUGAACUUGUUUAAUUGAAUUCUUAUAUCAUUGUCAUCAUCCUCAUGUUUAUAUUUAUUGAAAGUCAUCUGUGGCCUGUAGUGCAUAGAUGGACUUAGUAUGAUUAUGACCAGGGAUUAUUCGGUAUAAUCAUGACCGUAAUGUUAUAAAUGAUGUAAAAAUUAAAAGUCCUCAUUGGCCCGUAGUGCAUUGAUGGACAAUUUUUGGUAUGAUUAUGGCUGUGGAUUCUCUUCGGCCAAUGGAGCAAAUAUGAAUUAUUUUAUGGCAUGAUCAGGACCGUUGAUGAAAACACGAUUAUCUUUGGCCCGUAGAGCAUGGAUAAUUCGUGGUCGUGAUACUAAAGAAUAUCCUUGGCCUGUAGUGCAGGGAUGAUUUAAUGAUGUGGAUUAUUUAUUGAGCUGAGUCUCAGCGAUAAAAGUGAUGAAAACCUUUUUAAAUCAUAAAAGAUAGCAGACUUUAUUCUCUACUUGACUCUUUUAAUGAAUUACUUGAUCCGAUGCAAUUAAACUUGAUGUCUAUUGUAUUUUAUCAGUUUAACAUUGUUGGAGACUAAUGAUAAUUUAUUCUGCAUUAUCUUAGUCAUAAUAUUUCUUACUGGGCUAGUUGAGCUCACCCUUUCUUUCACUGUUCUCUUCAGGAAAUAAGAUUGUAGAUGGGACG